UUGAUUGGUCGAAAGACCUUAUCAGAUUCUACCACCUCUGUGAACCGUUGACCUCCGGGUUAAUAAUCAAACAUCAGUGUAACGAACGUACGAGUAUCUUAAUUAAACA
rnacentral:misc_RNA from 1 species